rnacentral:rRNA from 1 species
ACGAACGCUGGCGGCGUGCCUAAUACAUGCAAGUCGAACGCUUCUUUUUCCACCGGAGCUUGCUCCACCGGAAAAAGAGGAGUGGCGAACGGGUGAGUAACACGUGGGUAACCUGCCCAUCAGAAGGGAAUAACACUUGGAAACAGGUGCUAAUACCGUAUAACAAUUGAAACCGCAUGGUUUUGAUUUGAAAGGCGCUUUCGGGUGUCGCUGAUGGAUGGACCCGCGGUGCAUUAGCUAGUUGGUGAGGUAACGGCUCACCAAGGCGACGAUGCAUAGCCGACCUGAGAGGGUGAUCGGCCACAUUGGGACUGAGACACGGCCCAAACUCCUACGGGAGGCAGCAGUAGGGAAUCUUCGGCAAUGGACGAAAGUCUGACCGAGCAACGCCGCGUGAGUGAAGAAGGUUUUCGGAUCGUAAAACUCUGUUGUUAGAGAAGAACAAGGAUGAGAGUAACUGUUCAUCCCUUGACGGUAUCUAACCAGAAAGCCACGGCUAACUACGUGCCAGCAGCCGCGGUAAUACGUAGGUGGCAAGCGUUGUCCGGAUUUAUUGGGCGUAAAGCGAGCGCAGGCGGUUUCUUAAGUCUGAUGUGAAAGCCCCCGGCUCAACCGGGGAGGGUCAUUGGAAACUGGGAGACUUGAGUGCAGAAGAGGAGAGUGGAAUUCCAUGUGUAGCGGUGAAAUGCGUAGAUAUAUGGAGGAACACCAGUGGCGAAGGCGGCUCUCUGGUCUGUAACUGACGCUGAGGCUCGAAAGCGUGGGGAGCAAACAGGAUUAGAUACCCUGGUAGUCCACACCGUAAACGAUGAUUACUAGGUGUUGGAGGAUUGACCCCUUCAGUGCCGCAGUUAACACAAUAAGUAAUCCACCUGGGGAGUACGGCCGCAAGGUUGAAACUCAAAGGAAUUGACGGGGGCCCGCACAAGCAGUGGAGUAUGUGGUUUAAUUCGAAGCAACGCGAAGAACCUUACCAGGUCUUGACAUCCUUUGACCACUCUAGAGAUAGAGCUUCCCCUUCGGGGGCAAAGUGACAGGUGGUGCAUGGUUGUCGUCAGCUCGUGUCGUGAGAUGUUGGGUUAAGUCCCGCAACGAGCGCAACCCUUAUUGUUAGUUGCCAUCAUUUAGUUGGGCACUCUAGCAAGACUGCCGGUGACAAACCGGAGGAAGGUGGGGAUGACGUCAAAUCAUCAUGCCCCUUAUGACCUGGGCUACACACGUGCUACAAUGGGAAGUACAACGAGUCGCAAAGUCGCGAGGCUAAGCUAAUCUCUUAAAGCUUCUCUCAGUUCGGAUUGUAGGCUGCAACUCGCCUACAUGAAGCCGGAAUCGCUAGUAAUCGCGGAUCAGCACGCCGCGGUGAAUACGUUCCCGGGCCUUGUACACACCGCCCGUCACACCACGAGAGUUUGUAACACCCGAAGUCGGUGAGGUAACCUUUUGGAGCCAGCCGCCUAAGGUGGGAUAGAUGAUUGGGGUG